rnacentral:rRNA from 1 species
UUAGGAAUUUUGCGCAAUGGACGAAAGUCUGACGCAGCAACGCCGCGUGAGUGAAGAAGGCCUUCGGGUUGUAAAGCUCUUUUAGUGGGGGCGAAACAAAUGACGGUACCCACAGAAAAAGCACCGGCUAACCCUGUGCCAGCAGCCGCGGUAAUACAGGGGGUGCAAGCGUUACUCGGAAUUAUUGGGCGUAAAGAGCGCGUAGGCGGCUCGGUAAGUUUGGUGUGAAAUCCCUGGACUCAAUUCAGGAAGUGCAUUGAAUACUGCCGGGCUAGAGUGUUGGAGAGGACAGCGGAAUUCCAGGUGUAGAGGUGAAAUUCGUAGAUAUCUGGAGGAACAACAGUAGCGAAGGCGGCUGUCUGGACAAUUACUGACGCUGAGGCGCGAAAGCGUGGGGAGCAAACAGG